AGCAGAGUCCGUCCGCACGUUACACAGAAAAGGUUUUCGGCCUUUUCCGCUUAUUUACCGGCGUGUGUAUGUGUGUGUACGAAGACACGCACACAUCUGCAACUGAAAAUUUACGGAACCGGCGAAAAUAUGAUAAUUCUAAUUUUUUCGGCCUCAUCAUUUGAAAUUUUUGGUCCGAGAACCGUUAAAACUGGAGUCCAUUCGAAGUAUGCGCGAUUUGAAAACAUUCAAAAUAACCAAGACACUCGAACAACUUUUGUCAUGGCUGCCACUCGAAAAGUACAAAAAUAAUUACCAAUAAAUCUUUUACUAAUAAAUUUGUACAAAACA